rnacentral:rRNA from 1 species
GAUCCUGGCUCAGGAUGAACGCUAGCGACAGGCUUAACACAUGCAAGUCGAGGGGCAGCACGGUGUAGCAAUACACCGGUGGCGACCGGCGCACGGGUGAGUAACACGUGUGCAACCAACCCCGUACCGGGAGAUAACCCGCGGAAACGUGGACUAACACCCCAUAACACCUUUCCCCUGCAUGGGGGGAGGGUUUAAAACCCCGGUUACGGUACGGGACGGGCGACGCGCGACAUUAGGUAGUUGGCGGGGUAACGGGCCCACCAAGCCGACGAUGUCUAGGGG